rnacentral:rRNA from 1 species
GAUGAACGCUGGCGGCAUGCCUAAUACAUGCAAGUCGAACGAGAGGAAGGAAAGCUUGCUUUUCUGAAUCUAGUGGCGAACGGGUGAGUAACACGUAGGUAACCUGCCCGUGUGCCCGGGAUAACUUCUGGAAACGGAUGCUAAAACCGGAUAGGUAGCAGACAAGCAUUUGACUGCUAUUAAAGUGGCUAAGGCCAUGAACAUGGAUGGACCUGCGGUGCAUUAGCUAGUUGGUGAGGUAACGGCCCACCAAGGCGACGAUGCAUAGCCGGCCUGAGAGGGCGGACGGCCACAUUGGGACUGAGACACGGCCCAAACUCCUACGGGAGGCAGAAGUAGGGAAUUUUCGUCAAUGGGGGGAACCCUGAACGAGCAAUGCCGCGUGAGUGAGGAAGGUCUUCGGAUCGUAAAGCUCUGUUGUAAGAGAAAAACGACAUUCAUAGGGAAUGAUGAGUGAGUGAUGGUAUCUUACCAGAAAGUCACGGCUAACUACGUGCCAGCAGCCGCGGUAA